AUUGAACGCUGGCGGCGUGCUUAACACAUGCAAGUCGAACGGUAAGGCCCUUCGGGGUACACGAGUGGCGAACGGGUGAGUAACACGUGGGUGAUCUGCCCUGCACUUCGGGAUAAGCCUGGGAAACUGGGUCUAAUACCGGAUAGGACUCCGGACUGCAUGGUCUGGGGUGGAAAGCUUUUGCGGUGUGGGAUGGGCCCGCGGCCUAUCAGCUUGUUGGUGGGGUGAUGGCCUACCAAGGCGACGACGGGUAGCCGGCCUGAGAGGGUGACCGGCCACACUGGGAGUGGGAUACGGCCCAGACUCCUACGGGAGGCAGCAGUGGGGAAUAUUGCACAAUGAGCGCAAGCCUGAUGCAGCAACGCCGCGUGAGGGAUGACGGCCUUCGGGUUGUAAACCUCUUUUAGUAGGGAAGAAGCGAAAGUGACGGUACCUGCAGAAAAAGCACCGGCUAACUACGUGCCAGCAGCCGCCGUAA
rnacentral:rRNA from 1 species